rnacentral:rRNA from 1 species
AUUGAACGCUGGCGGCAUGCCUUACACAUGCAAGUCGAACGGCAGCGGGGACUUCGGUCCGCCGGCGAGUGGCGAACGGGUGAGUAAUGUAUCGGUACGUACCUUUCAGUGGGGGAUAACGUAGCGCAAGUUACGCCAAUACCGCAUAUUCCCUGAGGAGGAAAGCAGGGGACCUUCGGGCCUUGCGCUGAUGGAGCGCACGAUAUCAGAUUAGCUAGUUGGUGGGGUAAAGGCUCACCAAGGCUACGAUCUGUAGCGGGUCUGGGAGGAUGAUCCGCCACACUGGGACUGAGACACGGCCCAGACUCCUACGGGAGGCAGCAGUGGGGAAUUUUGGACAAUGGGCGAAAGCCUGAUCCAGCCAUGCCGCGUGAGUGAAGAAGGCCUUCGGGUUGUAAAGCUCUUUCGGACGGGAAGAAAUCAUGAGGGCUAAUAUCCCUUGUGGAUGACGGUACCGUAAUAAGAAGCACCGGCUAACUACGUGCCAGCCGCCGCGUAA